CACGUAGGGGGCGAGCGUUGUCCGGAAUCAUUGGGCGUAAAGAGCUCGUAGGCGGCUCGGUAAGUCGGGGGUGAAACCCCCAGGCUCAACCUGGGGACGCCACCCGAUACUGCUGUGGCUAGAGUCCAGUAGGGGAGUGUGGAAUUCCCGGUGUAGCGGUGAAAUGCGCAGAUAUCGGGAGGAACACCAGCGGCGAAGGCGGCACUCUGGGCUGGAACUGACGCUGAGGAGCGAAAGCGUGGGUAGCAAACAGG
rnacentral:rRNA from 1 species